AUAACUAAAACUUGUUUGAUGCAUGUUGGAAGAGGUAUUCUCAACCACUAUGGUUAUCCGACGUUUUUGCAUGUUACAUGAUUCAUUCUAGUAUCUUCAUGCCCAUACAUUCUUUUCUGAAUACUCUACGAUUUUUUUAUUUCAGUAGUAAAAAUACAUCAUGUGAGCUCGUGUGCUAUAGAUCCGGGAACGACGUAUGUACACUACAGUACUAGAAAUUCCUUUUAACUUCAAAAUAUUCUGCAUUAUCAUAGAUUUUUGCGUUUCUAAUUACCAAUAUAUCAAAGAGCACAACACUUUGGCGUUCGAGAACAUCUUUAAUAGAACAUAAUGUUGAAGGAUAAAUUUAGAUAGUACAUAAUACAAGAGAAAUUGUUUCUUAUUACGACUGAUCUGACACCAUGCUAUAGCAUCAUUACACCAUCUUCUCUUCCAAAUAGAUUUACAAGCUGGCACAUAUGGAGACCAAUAACCACACUGAAGCCUCAAUUCUUCUGAACAAGUAUAUUUAUCAAACCUGAAUCAGCAAAAACUGUGGAGUGAUUAAUGCAUGGCAUGACACACGGCUAGAAAAAUGAUAAACUUCUGAGGAGCUUCAGAAAUUGAUUUUGAAAGCGAACAUAGUAGGUGCAAAGAAGUAAUGCAAUAAUGCACCUGUCUCAU
rnacentral:lncRNA from 1 species